GUCCUUUUGAUAAUAAUAUAAGGUCUAACCUGCCCACUGAAAUUUUAAAGGGCCGCAGUAUUUUAACUGUGCAAAGGUAGCAUAAUAAUUAGUUUCUUAAUUAGAAGCUGGUAUGAAUGGUUGAACGAGAAAUUUACUGUCUCAAUUUAUAUAUUAAAAUUUUAUUUUUAAGUUAAAAAGCUUAAAUUUAUUUAAAAGACGAGAAGACCCUAUAGAGUUUUAUAAAUUUAAUUAUAUUAUUUUUAGAAUUUUUUUUUAUUUAAAUUUAUUUUAUUGGGGUGAUAUAUAAAUUUAAUAAACUUUAUAUUUUUAAUAACAUUAAUUAAUGUUUAAUUGAUCCAUAUAAAUGAUUAAAAGAAAAAAUUACCUUAGGGAUAACAGCGUAAUUUUUUUUUAGAGUUCUAAUCGAAAAAAAAGAUUGCGACCUCGAUGUUGGAUUAAAAUUAAUUUUUGGUGUAGAAGCUAAAAUAUUAGGUCUGUUCGACCUUUAAAAUUUUACAUGAUCUGAGUUUAAACCGGCGUGAGCCAGGUUGGUUUCUAUCUUUAAAAAAAAUAAAUAUUUUAGUACGAAAGGACCAAGUAUUUUUAAAAUUUAAUAUUUUUGAAUA
rnacentral:rRNA from 1 species